GUGGCACAAACGCUUCGAAGAUGGUCGAGAAUCUGUUGGAAGAAUUGGUGCCCUGCAAUUUCUGGCUUUUCCCAAAGCUAAAAUCAUCUUUAGAAAGGAGAUUUUAGACAGUCAAUGAGAUUCAGUUAAUACGACGAGGCAGCUGAUUGUGAUUGCAACAAAGGAUUUUGAACAGUAGAAGAGACGCUGGUAGAACAGUUUGAGGUCCCAAGGUGUCAUUGUCCUGUGUACAAUGUUUC